rnacentral:rRNA from 1 species
UCGAACGAUCCAUAGCAAUAUGGAUAGUGGCAGAAGGGUUAGUAACACGUGGGCAAUCUACCCCCGAAUCGGGGAUAACAUCUCGAAAGAGGUGCUAAUACCCGAUGACACCAUCUGGUCGCAUGAUCGGAUGGUCAAAGGUGGCUCGCAAGAGCUGCCGUUUGAGGAGGAGCCCGCGGCCUAUCAGCUAGUUGGUGAGGUAACGGCUCACCAAGGCUUUUGACGGGUAGCUGGUCUGAGAGGACGAUCAGCAACAUUGGGACUGAGACACUGCCCAGACUUCUACGGAAGGCUGCAGUCGAGAAUCUUUAGCAAUGCCCGAAAGGGUGACUAUGCGACGCCGCGUGCAGGAUGAAGGCCUUCGGGUUGUAAACUGCUGUCAGGGGGGAAGAAACCCCGCUAUUUAAAAGAUGGUGGGCUGACAUCACCCCCAAAGGAAGCCACGGCUAACUCUGUGCCAGCAGCCGCGGUAAGACAGAGGUGGCAAGCGUUGUUCGGAUUUACUGGGUGUAAAGGGCAGGUAGGCGGCCGUGAAAGUCCGAUGUGAAAUCCCAGGGCUCAACCCUGGAACUGCAUCGGAUACUCCACGGCUUGAGUGUCGGAGAGGUGAGGGGAAUUCCCGGUGUAAGGGUGAAAUCUGUAGAUAUCGGGAGGAACACCAGUGGCGAAGGCGCCUCACUGGCCGACAACUGACGCUGAGCUGCGAAAGCUAGGGGAGCAAACAGGAUUAGAUACCCUGGUAGUCCUAGCCGUAAACGAUGUGGAUUAGGUGUCGGAGGUGUCGAUCCCUCCGGCGCCGACGCUAACGCAUUAAAUCCACCACCUGGGGAGUACGGUCGCAAGACUGAAACU